rnacentral:rRNA from 2 species
ACUGAGACACGGCCCAGACUCCUACGGGAGGCAGCAGUGGGGAAUAUUGCGCAAUGGGCGAAAGCCUGACGCAGCGACGCCGCGUGGGGGAUGACGGCCUUCGGGUUGUAAACCUCUUUCAGCAGGGACGAAGUUGACGUGUACCUGCAGAAGAAGCGCCGGCUAACUACGUGCCAGCAGCCGCGGUAAUACGUAGGGCGCAAGCGUUGUCCGGAAUUAUUGGGCGUAAAGAGCUCGUAGGUGGCUUGUCGCGUCUGCCGUGAAAGCUCGCAGCUUAACUGCGGGUCUGCGGUGGAUACGGGCUGGCUAGAGGUAGGUAGGGGAGAACGGAAUUCCUGGUGUAGCGGUGAAAUGCGCAGAUAUCAGGAGGAACACCGGUGGCGAAGGCGGUUCUCUGGGCCUUACCUGACGCUGAGGAGCGAAAGCGUGGGGAGCGAACAGGAUUAGAUACCCUGGUAGUCCACGCUGUAAACGUUGGGCGCUAGGUGUGGGGAUCUUCCACGAUCUCCGUGCCGGAGCUAACGCAUUAAGCGCCCCGCCUGGGGAGUACGGCCGCAAGGCUAAAACUCAAAGGAAUUGACGGGGGCCCGCACAAGCGGCGGAGCAUGUUGCUUAAUUCGACGCAACGCGAAGAACCUUACCAAGGCUUGACAUCGCCCGGAAAGCUGCAGAGAUGUGGCCCUCUUCGGACUGGGUGACAGGUGGUGCAUGGCUGUCGUCAGCUCGUGUCGUGAGAUGUUGGGUUAAGUCCCGCAACGAGCGCAACCCUUGCUCCAUGUUGCCAGCAGGCGCUUCGGCGUGCUGGGGACUCAUGGGGGACUGCCGGGGUCAACUCGGAGGAAGGUGGGGAUGACGUCAAGUCAUCAUGCCCCUUAUGUCUUGGGCUGCAAACAUGCUACAAUGGCCGGUACAGAGGGUUGCGAUACCGUGAGGUGGAGCGAAUCCCUAAAAGCCGGUCUCAGUUCGGAUUGGGGUCUGCAACUCGACCCCAUGAAGUCGGAGUCGCUAGUAAUCGCAGAUCAGCAACGCUGCGGUGAAUACGUUCCCGGGCCUUGUACACACCGCCCGUCACGUCACGAAAGUCGGCAACACCCG